AGAGGCCGGACCUGGGCAACCCCAGCCUGGAGGUGCCGGGGCCGGAGCUCCCAGAGGGCUGGGUGCGAGGCCUAGGCGGGGUCAGGUUCGGGUUCCUAGGCCAUAGCGGAGCUGCAGCCCAGGCGGCCGGAGCGGAACCCAGCCCCGCUCCGAGUGCCACGUCUCCAGGAACCCCCUCCUUACUCUUGGACAACACUCCGCCCCCGCCCGGGCCUCCGUCCCCCAAACCGCCCUCAUUUGUGCAGCGCCAGAUCCUUCGGACACAUCCCUAGGUGUCUCCAUCCUCAUUCGGUCCAUCCAACUCCCAGACCUCACGUCAACCGGCUGCACCCCACUUUCCAGCCUGCGCCCCAGAUCUGCAGCCUUCGCCCCUAGAUACACCCGCCUGGUGAUGAGGCGCUCCUCGCGUUCCUUCCGGGCUCCAGGUGUCCGUGAGCCUCCCUUCCGCCCUGGCCUCCGGUCUCUGCCUUGCUCGUGCUUCUACCACCACCCUUCCCCUCCCAACCCGGUGGAUCCUCUCGUCUCCCCCAGUCUCCAGUGCACCGGCUUUCCCUCGUCCUCUGCGCAGUCCAUCUCAGCUCAUCUCUCCAAUUCAAUGCCAUCAUCUCUCCUCACCAUCUCUCGGUGCCCUGGAAUGUUUGCUGUCAGAUGUCCCCUGUGAAACCCACAAACGCUUGCGAUUUGGCCUCCUUGUUUUAUUUUGUGUAGUCCUACAACGUCUUGUUACUACCCCCUAUUACAACACUUAUAACUCAG
rnacentral:lncRNA from 10 species